GUGGACAUGAAUGCCCCUGUGCAGCUCGUCAGCUUCCUGCUACUUUGGGUCCCUGGUGCCAGGGGUGAUAUCCAGCUGACCCAGUCUCCAUCCAUGUCUGCAUCUCUGGGAGAGAAAGUCACCAUCACCUGCAAAGCCCAUCAGAAUAUUGGCAAGUAUUUGAAUUGGUAUCAGCAGAAACCCGGAGAAGCUCCUAGACUUCUGAUCUAUUAUGCAUCAAACUUGCAACCUGGGGCCCCGUCCGGAUUCAUUGGCAGUGGAUCUGGCACAGAUUUCACUCUCACCAUCAGCAGCCUAAAGUAUGAAGAUGCUGCCACUUAUUACUGUCAACAAUAUAGUAGUUACCCUCCCACAAUGAUACAGGGCUGA